AAAUAAUCAGAACACCAGAUCUCAACCCAGUACAAAACCUUUAGGAUGUGGUGGAACCAGAGAUUCACAUCAUGGAUGUGCAGCUGAGAAAUCUGCAGCAACUGCAUGAUGCUGUCAUAAAUAUAUAUA